rnacentral:rRNA from 1 species
UACGAAGGGGGCUAGCGUUGCUCGGAAUUACUGGGCGUAAAGCGCACGUAGGCGGCUUCUUAAGUCGAUGGUGAAAUCCUGGAGCUCAACUCCAGAACUGCCUUCGAUACUGGGAAGCUCGAGUCCGGGAGAGGUGAGUGGAACUGCGAGUGUAGAGGUGAAAUUCGUAGAUAUUCGCAAGAACACCAGUGGCGAAGGCGGCUCACUGGCCCGGUACUGACGCUGAGGUGCGAAAGCGUGGGGAGCAAACAGG